AUCAUUAAAGAGUAAGGGUCUCUGGCCCGAACCUCCAACCCUCUGUUGUUAUAACUACUUCGUUGCUUUGGCGGGACCGCAAAGGUUCUCCCGAGCGCGCCAGUCCCCGGACAGGCGAGCGCCCGCCAGAGUCUAACCAAACUCUUGUUUUUAAACCAGUCGUCUGAGUAUAAAAUUUUAAUUAAAUUAAAACUUUCAACAACGGAUCUCUUGGUUCUCGCAUCGAUGAAGAACGCAGCGAAAUGCGAUAAGUAAUGUGAAUUGCAGAAUUCAGUGAAUCAUCGAAUCUUUGAACGCACAUUGCGCCCCUUGGUAUUCCGAGGGGCAUGCCUGUUCGAGCGUCAUUACACCACUCAAGCACCGCUUGGUAUUGGGCAUCGUCCGCCUCUGAUGGCGGGCGUGCCUCGAAGACCUCGGCGGGGUUUCUCCAACUUCGGGCGUAGUAGAGUUAAAUCAAAACGUCUUAUAAGCUUGGUGAGAUCUCAUUGCCGUUAAACCUUUUAUUAUUUUUCAGGUUGACCUCGGAUCAGGUAGGGAUACCCGCUGAACUUAAGCAUAUCA
rnacentral:sRNA from 1 species